CACGGGGGGAGCAAGCGUUGUUCGGAAUCACUGGGCGUAAAGGGUGCGUAGGCGGUCGGGUAAGUCUGAUGUGAAAUCUCACAGCUUAACUGUGAAACUGCAUUGGAUACUAUCCGGCUCGAGGAAUGGAGGGGAGACUGGAAUACUUGGUGUAGCAGUGAAAUGCGUAGAUAUCAAGUGGAACACCAGUGGCGAAGGCGAGUCUCUGGACAUUUCCUGACGCUGAGGCACGAAAGCCAGGGGAGCAAACGGG
rnacentral:rRNA from 1 species